rnacentral:rRNA from 1 species
CUCAGUUCGGAUUGGAGGCUGAAAUUCGACCGCAUGAAGUCGGAAUCGCUAGUAAUCGCGAAUCAGAAUGUCGCGGUGAAUACGUUCCCGGGUCUUGUACACACCGCCCGUCACACCAUGGGAGUUGGAAGCGCCCGAAGUCUGUGACCUAACCGAAAGGGAGGAGCAGCCGAAGGUGAAGCCAGUGACUGGGGUGAAGUCGUAACAAGGUACC